GCUCCUGGGAGCAGUGCUGGCAGGUGGCGGAGCGGCCCCCUGGGCAGGGCCAUGGCAAGAGCAGGCACAGGGUGUGGGGUUCUGAGAGGGGGGGCUCUGAGAGGGCUCGGACUGGGAGAGCCCCGCGGAUGGACUGCCCCGUCCUCCAGGAAGGAAGGAGCUCCUGGAGCCAGGCAGGACGGAACCACAGCAGGAAGCAGGAACGUCCUACCACUGCCAGAUGCCCAAGGCUGGGCGCCAGGCUGCGGCAGGGCCCCUGCGUGGCUUGGGACAGGUCUGCUGGCUGGAGUAGGGGUGUGGCAUGGGGGAAAGGGGGGGAAAGGGGUGAGAAAGCCAAGCCCGGGCCCCAGCCCUGGAGACCCUAAGUGCUGACUGCUCGGGAGUCUGCAGGGGCCACAAGCUGCAGAGACAGAGGUCUAGGGCCAAGUCUACCCUGACUGGCUGUGAGACCCUGCAGGUGACGAAGGCGUUGUCGCUCGAUAACUGGGCUAUCAAGUGUGGCAGGAAAGGCAGGAGAGACACCGUUCGAGUCGUCCUUCAGCCUGGAAGGGACGUCGCCACACGCCUCGCAGCCUCGCAUCCUAAGAGCUUCCCUGGUGAAUCACACCCCCCAGGCCUGUCUUACCAGAUGUGCCUCCGUCCCACAGCCACGGCGCCGCCAGCGUAGAGGACCCGUGAAGCGCUCCGCAGGACACCGGAGCGCCCUGGCCUCCGCGCCCCACCUGUGCCCUUGACCUGCGCGUACUGCCGUCGCCACCCUGACCUGCGUCCCCUGACCGGCCCGUGCUGCCGUCGGCUGCAUGACCUAAGCCCCCAGACGUCAGGACUGACGUCGUCCUCAUGACGUACGCCCUGAUCUGCACGUACUGACGUCGGCGUCAUGACCCGCGCCCCUGACCUGCGCGCACUGACGUUGUCAUCAUGAUUUAUGCCUCCUAACCUGCUUGUCCUGACGUCAUCCUCCUGACGUACGCCCCGAUCUGCACGUACUGUGUUGGCGUCAUGACCUACGCCCCCUGACCUGCAUGUACUGACGUCGUCGUCAUGACCUGCUCCGUCACCUGCCUGUACUGACGUCGUCCUCAUGACGUACGCCCUGACCUGCACGUGACAUACGCCUUGACCUGCACGUACUGAUGUUGGCGUCAUGACCUACGCCCCUUGACCUGCACGUACUGACGUCGUCGUCAUGACCUGCGCCCUGACCUGCUCGGACUGACGUCGGCGCCCUGACCUGUGCCCCCUGACCUGCACGUACUGACCUCUGCUCCAUGACUGCGUGCACCCUGACCUGUUCCGCCUGAAACAACGGGCUUGCAGUACCUCCUCGUGGCCACACGGGGGCGGGCGGACCCGAGCGUCGGGGCAGGAGGGGCGUGGCCCAGGGGCGCGGCAGGUGGGACCAGGUACCCUAACACCUGGCUGUGGUGCGCCGGCGGCUGGGCUCCUGGGACUUCCAGGGUGGCGAUCGGCGGGCGCUGCAAGCUCCAUCCACCGCGGACUCGAGCUUCUCCGACGGCCUCGAGGGGCUCCACAAGCCUCUUCCGUUUGUGAGCGGGUGUGCGCAGGUGUGAGCAGGUGCGUGAGGGUGUGCGCGGGUGUGUGUGAGUGGUGCAAGCGGGUGCAUGCACGUGUGUGCACGUGCUAGCAGGUGUGUGCGGGUGCGUGUGUGAGGGUGCAAGCGGUGCGUGCAGGUGCGUCCAGCGUGCUGGCCCCGCUGCACACUCCUGUCGAUCUCGCUCAGGGUCCGUUUCCGCACUAGCCUUGCCACAGCUUGGGAGCCCAGGGACGUUCGUCUCUCUGUCACGGUGCCUAGGACCUGACAGAGGCUGGCUCCGUGGGGAGUGUUUGAAGGAGGAAUGAACCCGCGAAACCCUUGCUGGAAGGUCCGUAGGGAGUGGGCUGAAGGGGGCCCAGGUGCACCUUCGCCCCACGGUUCUCACAGCGCCGCUGGUCCGAGCUGUGCUGCGGUCUUGUCCGCGUGGCUCUGGUGUUCCCGUCCUCCUCCACUGCAGGAGGGGCAGGAACCAAGAUGCAGAGGAACAGGCCAAAGGCCCCUGCUGCUUGUGCCGGGUGUUAAGUGUAGGACUUUUAGUUAAAGAUAUCAUUUCCUUAUUUAAGAUAAAGAGAGAACGCACAAACUCGGGGAGGGACAGAGGGAGAGACAGACUCCAUGCGGAACAGGGAGCCCGACGCAGGACUCGAUUCCACGACCCUGCGAUCACGACCUGAACUGAAGGCAGAGGCGUAACGACUGAGGCACCAGGCGCUUCCAAAUCCCAGGCCUUCACCUGGCAUCGGAGCCCAUCUGCAGAGGAAAGGCGAAGCCGGGAAGCGGGCUCAGGGUCUGGGGCGCUCGGGGUCAGCACCCUCCAGGAGCAGUGUUCUCCACACCGUCCUGCAGCCGCGUGCCCUCACCAGCGGGCCGUCUUGUUUUGGGGGGCUGGGGGGCCCAAACGGAGUGCCCACUCUGCACCGGCGCCCUCCCUGCCUAGUGCCCGGUCAGACCAACACACACACUGCCCUCCAAGCGCCCCUGGGAAGCCUGGUGCUUUGGGGGACGGUCGUGCAGCUGUCUCCAGGCUGGGCAGAGCGGGGAGCCAGUGGGGACCCUCCCAGGGCAGUGGGGCCUGAGCCCAGAGCAGCGUCUGCGGGUGGGCUGUGGUGUGUGGGGACAUGGAGACAGAUUUCAACAGUGACACCUGGACAGUGACAGGGACUGGAGAUGCUGACAGGCCUCGAGACUGGGGGAUCCACCCUUGCCCCCUUCCUCUCUGGGGCUUCCAGAGGCUGCCCCAGUGGGAGGAAGGCCACAGAGGUGGGCCACCUCCUGUUUUCCCUUCCUUUCUCUCUCUCCCCACUCCAGGGACCCGGGGGAGGAGACAGCGACCACCAGUAGGACAGUUAGGGGCAACUGGGGAGUGUAGUGACCUUAGGCGGCCGGCCUUGUGCCCAGCCUGGCUGUGGGCCUUGGGGCCAGGUCUCCCGCAGUGACCGCCGCGUACCCCCAUCCUGGAGGCCACUGUGGGCCCAGGAGCACAGGGAAGGGCCUUCUCCAUCCUGGGCCGCCUUCCCUCACUCCCACGAUGCAGUUCUUUUCUUGGCUUGUGGGUGGGGAGAUGUGCUGCAGCUGCAGCGUCCCCCUAGAAUGAGUUCUGCAUCCCUGCCCCGUGGAAACCAGGUUUGGCCCCAUGGCUUGUCUGCACCCCGGGGGGAACCGAAGCAAGGCCUGUCGCUUGAGAGUGGGAGAUUUUGGAGCUGGCUCUGACUCACCCUCCCUCGGCCACAGGAUGCAUGUCAGCCGAGACUUCUGGAGAGAGGGCAGGCGACCCUCCUGCCUCCCUUCUGCCUGCUGGCCAACCUUCUCCCUCGGUUUCUGAGGGACAGCUGCCCCGGUCCCGUAUGGCGGCCCACCCCGCACGCAAGCCAGCACACCCACUGAGGCCGCCCACACAGGCCCCCAUCACGGGGCACCCUGUCCACCUCCCGGUUCUCACCGGGGAGCCCUAGGCUCUCACCAGCUCGAGAGAGGUGUGGAAGGUUCUAGAGCAGACCUUGUUCCUGGUGGUCCCCAGCUUCUCGAGCCACCGGUACUCCCUGGCGUAGGGUACCUCGGUCCACCUUCAGAGCCAGCGUUGGCAGCCGGUCCGCACACCGGGGCCCCUCUGUCCCCCUGGCGCUGGGCUGUUUU